CCAUGGGGAAGGGGCUCAGAGGGGCUCAGUGAGCCAGAGAAGACCAAUGUGGAGCUUGCACUAGGCAAAACAGCCAGGCACAAGGCCUCAAGGGUGUCAGGACAACUGGGAGGGAUCUUCGUAGGAUCUUUUCCAGAGUCCUUUCUCCCCCUGCAGAGAGCAAUGCUGCCCUGAACUAACAGGGACCAUAUGCUUGGACAGAACUGGCAAAGAGCUGCAUUUCUGCAAGCACAGGGCUGCAGGCGAUGCUUGGCUAAUGGCUCCUCCCUGCACCACCUGGCCUCAGCCCAGUGUCUCCAGCACCACCCACUCUACAUGCUGUGCUUCUGGGUAGAUCUGUGAAUGGUUGAGCAAGUGGUCCUGGGAUUCCACUUUCCUGGUCAACCCUGCACCACACGAAGGAGCAGCUGGGAUGUCGCAUAAUAAUGACUCGGGGAUGUGGAUUGACAAGGGCCACUGGGGUAAGGCCUGAAGGACAAAGCCAGAGAAGGCCAUUUGACACGGGUCUUUUGAGAGGCUGGGGAACGAAUCUGACACGUUUGCUGCCUCCUCCUAUGGAAGACGGAAGACCCAUUAGCCAGGACAAGCUUCCUGAGAGCAGGAAACCAACUAAUCACCCAUUCCUGGGAAGCCUCCC